rnacentral:rRNA from 1 species
GACGAACGCUGGCGGCGUGCUUAACACAUGCAAGUCGAACGGUGAAGGGACCAGCUUGCUGGUUCUGGAUGAGUGGCGAACGGGUGAGUAACACGUGAGUAACCUGCCCCCUUCUUCUGGAUAACCACAUGAAAGUGUGGCUAAUACGGGAUAUUCUGGGUCUGUCGCAUGGCGGGCCCGGGAAAGAUAUUGCUUCGGUGGGGGAUGGGCUCGCGGCCUAUCAGCUUGUUGGUGGGGUGAUGGCCUACCAAGGCGGUGACGGGUAGCCGGCCUGAGAGGGUGGACGGUCACACUGGGACUGAGACACGGCCCAGACUCCUACGGGAGGCAGCAGUGGGGAAUAUUGCACAAUGGGCGCAAGCCUGAUGCAGCGACGCCGCGUGAGGGAUGGAGGCCUUCGGGUUGUAAACCUCUUUCGCCAGUGAAGCAGGCCUGCUCCUUGUGGGUGGGUUGACGGUAGCUGGAUAAGAAGCGCCGGCUAACUACGUG